rnacentral:rRNA from 1 species
UACGGAGGGUGCAAGCGUCGUCCGGAAUCACUGGGUGUAAAGGGUGUGUAGGCGGGUCGGUAAGUCAGGGGUGAAAGCCUGCGGCUCAACCGCAGAAUUGCCUUUGAUACUGCCGCUCUUGAGUGCUGGAGAGGUCACUGGAAUUCGUGGUGUAGCGGUGAAAUGCGUAGAUAUCACGAGGAACACCGGAGGUGUAGACGGGUGACUGGACAGCCACUGACGCUGAGGCACGAAAGCGUGGGGAGCAAACAGG